AGAGGAAGUGACCUCGGAGCCUGUCCGGCUCGGUCCAGCACUGCUGGGUGACGCCCAGGGUCCUCACGAGGCCUGCUCCCCAGGGUCGGGGGGAACCUUACGGGCGGCCGUGGACGGUGCUGGGGUCUGGCCUGGGUCUGGCUGGCCGUGUCCUGUGUGCCCCACGGCCCAGCAGGUCUCAGCAUGGAGAGCUGGGCGCACUGGCCCAGAGCCUGGGGGAUGCGCAGCACCCCUGCCCCGGGCUCCCCUGGCACCGGAUGCCUGGCCCACGGAGGUGGGGGGCCACAGGCAGGGGCACGCUCCUCCACGCGGCCCACCUCAGAGAGAUGUGCCCCGGGGCCCCAGCUGGACCCGAGUGGCCGGGGUGGAGGUGGCGUCCCGACAGCCCUGGGAGGGUUGGGAGAGGACGGGACAGGACCCUUGGCCUCCCCUCCCACAGGAGGUUCAGGAUUGGGGUGGUCUGCUGGAGGCGGGUCCCAGGAACUUGACUCCUUCGGGAAAGCCCCGGGGUGGGGUCCACCUGGUGAUGCUGCAGGAGCAGGUGCCCAGGACCCAGGGGUCAAGGGCAGCAGCUUCUCUGGGCCAGGCCCGAGUGACACUAGAUAACUGCCUCUCGCUCUUUGCUGGCAAGAGGGUCCCAGGUCCUCAGUUUCCCCACAGACACUUCCAACACGCACCUCCAGAAAUCCCAGGAAGGACUCACGGGCAAGGAGCCGAGAUGUUCUUUCUAAAUGUUUUUUUAGAGGGUCGGGCUGACAAAGAAAAAGAAACGUCAGGGGUUUUCUGCUGUAAGUUGAAUACGUUUCCAAACCUCACACGGAAUCAAACUGCACCAGAGAAGAGCAGCAGGGCCGGCGGCUUCCCCAACAUCAAGGAGGCCCCAGACCUGAUGCCACGCGGCCGCUGAAGCCAUAGCCUGAUGCCAAGAGGGCAGCUCAGCUGCGGCCCCAACCCGGAGCUCCCAGCAGGGCUUCGCCGUGACACCCACACCCACGUCAGCCACAGCGUCUGCGGCCUUGAUGGCCCGAGGGUCAUGAAGUGACAACCCGGAGCCACCGAUGCACACAGAUGUCAGGUCAAAGACCACGGAACACGCGUCACUCAACAAGAAAAAGCUGGCGGGUCAGUUUUUCCUGUGCUGGCCGCUCCUGGAGCAGUGAGGUCGGUGAACUGCUGACCCAGAGCUGGAAACACCUAGAAUGCCAGAUGCUGAGACCCCCUCGUCCGGCACAUGCUCCGUGACUCCUGGCAUCGAGCGCCCCACGCCUCCUCCAGUCACUGCCACCCCCGUCCUGGAGCAAGGUGACGACGGCUGACCGUCCUGUCUGAGCGUGGAAGCCUGUUUUGCAGUGGGAAACCUGCGCACUGACCUCCAGACGCAGGUGUGACACCUCACGGCCCUGGUGCUGCUUUACAGACGACUGACGCCCCCGCCCUCCCCAAGUCCGGCCAGGGCAGCAGGCGGGUUGGGCCGUCGCUCCCGGAUGCCCUGCCUCCCAUCCCCAAAGCAUCCUACCGCAGCAGUAAGAAAAAUGAUUUUGCCAAUUCUAAGGUCACGUUAAAAAAAUGUUUUUAUAAAAAGAUUAUGGUUUACAACAACUGGAAACCAUGACAUCCCACAUUUCUAAGCUGCAGUGCUGGAACCGUAGGACUUUAAAAGCUAUUGUGUCGUAGAAAAAUAACUGUGCAGCUCAGUAAAAUGCAUGUUGUUCAGCUUCUCAACUUAGAACUAAAUAUUCACACCAACUAUAGUGUCCUUUCCCCCUGUGAAUACAGUGAGUUGCUGUGUGGCUACAUGAUUUCAGAACCCUUUGAGCAGUUAGUUCCAAUAUUCAAGUGAUUUCAUAGAAAGCACUGGCAGAGUCAAUUUGGUGCUGUAAAGGUGAAAUGACUUAACUGCAUGUCAACGUGGCACCCCCUACGACGGAACCGACUGGAAAACUGAACAAAGAAUGCACAUAUCUUAAAAACUACCGAGGUGAAGGAAUAAUUUAAUAUCACCACACGGAAGCCCUGCAGAGCCGGUGCGGCGGGCAGUGCCUCCCUGGGAGCCUGGGGCAGUGGCCCGGCCGUCAGCGGAGCACGGUCACGUGGGCGGCGGCGAGGUCCAGGUCCGUCUUGGACGGAUACACCACCUUCAGGUGCCCCUCCUCAUCCACCACCCGGACCUGCUCCACCACCAGCGGGGCGCUCCCAGCCUGUUCAGCACCGGUAGUCGCCCUGGGAUCCGAGACUUGUCCAGGAAUGGCAUCGACUUCGUGGUCGGAGAGGGAACCUUCGUCUUUAUUUUCCAAAGUGUAUUUGUUGAUUUCUGCCAUUUUCUGCAAAUGAAAAAUAUCUUUUUAACCGAGAGAUUAGGGGCAACCCAGGGAAGACAGGCUGCCGUCACCCAUAUGGCAAAGGGCAGCGGACGUGCCAUCUGUCCCGCGGGGCCAGAGCCUCGGUGGGCAGGAUGGGCGGGCAGGACGCUAACCAGGAUGAGGGCGUCCAUAAUGUCCUUGCAGAUCUGCAGGCUGGCGGCGCUCGUCACUUCCAGAAACAGGUCACAAGUGGUUUUCUUAAUCUUAAACAGAAAUCAGAAAGAUUUCAGGAAAGAAUCAAGGUAUCACAAGCAGAGACCAGCAACUGCAAGGUCUAAUCUGCAGAAAACCCUGUAAGACGGUGUCACACAAAUCCGGACUGUCGCCCUCCCGAGGGGGGACACACACCGGGGCGCGGCACACGCGGCAGCGAGCACACGCAGCCACACACGUGAACGCGACACGUGACGCGGUCUCAAAGGUGACAGACGCUGGUAGACGCCGCCCACCUUCGUCUUCUCGCUGUUUGUUAUGGGCGGGAAAGAAAUCACAUCGCCGUUUGCAUCCACGAGGCACGGGUAAUGCUCCUUCCCGUCCAGCAGGUGAAGGUACCUGGGUGGGAAGAAAUACCGGUAACAGGCACAGCUGUGGAAACACGCCUAAAGGUGAGUGGACGAAUCGCAGUUCUCUGGACACAGUAGGUGUCAGGUCAAGGGCAUGUGACACGAGCCAAUUCAGGGGAGGUGUUCGCAGGGCCUCCUCGGUGCCCAAGCCAGCCGAGCCUGACCCGGAUCAAGCGCAGCAGGCCCGGCUGUCCCCUUAUCCAUGGCGCGCUCUCCCUGGGCACCUGGUGGACAUGCCGAGGGCCCCCCUCUGAGACAACACAAAGCCUGCACUCCUGGCACCUGCUUCUCUGAAGCCAUGCGACACGGGGCCACGGUGGAUCCUUCCCCCCCGCGUAAGAACCCGAGAGGAGAGUGAACGAAACCUGGACGGCCUCUCGAGUUGGGGCAGCUUCGCGAGCGCCCGCCUCGGCACAGGCUGGUGAAGGGGCCCCACCUGUGCAGGCCCGACACGUUCUGCCUCCUCUUCUGCUUCCUGUGCUCCUCGGCCUCCAGCUGCAGCUGCCGUACCAGGUCCUUGGCCUUGGCUUCCCGGCGCCCCAAGGGGACGAUCUAUGGGGUGGACACCGCACGUUGGCCUGUUGCUGGGGGUCCCAGCGGGAGGCUUCUGAGAGCUGACAGUCCUCCAGGCGGACGUCCAUCGGGCUGAGGACAGAGGCUGCCCCCACGUCACGUGCAGAUAUACUGUGCCUGCAGAGGUCACCCUGGGGGCUGAAUCUGAAACCCGCCUAGUGCACAGCCAGGGUUCCACGCCUGUGGCUCUGAGGAGGCCAAGGGAAGAGAUGGGGCCAGCGGUCGGAGCCAGUCCCCUGGGAACCCUCCGCCUGGGGCCCGAGGAGCCUCACGCAGAACCCGAGAGACCAGGAGCGGGGCCUUGACAGAACUCACACUGCGGUCAACCCCAGAUCAGGGGGUUUGCAACUGGGAUAUAAACCACAAUUUCUGGUUAAAAGUUAGUGAGCAGGUGAAGGAAACCACUUUCAAAUCACCACCUCCUUUGAUGUGUUUACUUUUGAAAGUAACUGUCAACACAACCUGUUUUAUUUUAUGUUCCUGCUGGGAGCAGAACAGGGUCAGAUUCUACCCAAAAUGCUCUGACUCAACCACCUGCACGUGUAUUUUUUGAAAAACACACAAGGAACACUCAAACUGCAAACACUGGGACGUGUGGCCUCACCCUGAGGUCUUGCGGGGGGCGGGCGGCAUACAGCAGGGGCCCCCGGAUGGCUCUGAGGUCGUGGGUUGCGAUGGUGGCCGCCGUCCUCUUCUCACAAAGGUCCUCGUGCAGCUUUGUCUGCAACACAAGUUCAAGGGCAGGCAGAGCUCAGUGUCCAAGGCUGGAGGGCAAGCCCCCCGCCACCCCAGGCCCCCCGGAGCAGCCUCCCCAGCCAAGUAUUUAUUUCGUGGAACCUCCGCUGGAAAGCUGGUAUCUGCUUAUCAGCAGAAUUUCUUCUCGCCCUAACUCUACGGUGCAAUGCUUGAGACUUCAAAGAACCCAUCUCGAGCUAAAAUUUAUGAGUGAAUAGAAGUGUGACUUAAAAACAACCCCAGCAAGCUUUUCCUCCAAAACACUGAUCUUCGAGUUCUGAGCUCCUGGCUCGGCUUCCUCCCCGUACGUACGGCCUCAGCCCCGCAGGCCACGCUCGGGGUUGCCCACGUGCAAGGAUGUGCUUUUUGCUCUAAUAGCUGGGCAGACUUCACAGAAGAACAACGAACUCUUAAGUCUGUCUAGCUGAAACCUCACAAAAACUAAACAAGUCACCCGAGAACACGAUGGCAAGAGCUAACGAUUUCAACACUCUCUCAUAUGAGACUGAACAUGGCACCUAUUGUGUAAGUCAGAAACCCACGCGCACAGCAGAGACUCAGGGACGCUGACUGCGCCGGGUCCCCUCCCCACCCCACGGGGGCCGGGUCGCCCCGCCCACGGCCCGCCCUCCCCGCCCCCAUCGCGGCCGCGGGCACCCACCUGGGAGGAGAGGAACCGCUUGAGCGCGUUCCCAGGCUGCAGGUCCAUGCCCCGCACGACGGCGCCCACGAUGAAGGGCCGCACGUCCCCGACCCCGGGGCUCACCGUGACCGUCAGCGGGGCCGGGUUCUCGGCCACGUGCAGCACCCGCAGCAGCAGCCGGCUGGCCUCGUCCACCCACGCCUCCUCGGCCUCGCCGCACUCCCUCUUCCUCCGCUCCCGCCGCUUCCUCCGCGCCUCCUCCCUGUCGGGGCCCUCGGCCUUGCCCCGGCCCCGGCCGCCCCCGCGGCCCCCGGCGCGCAGGUACUCCAGGAUGGACCUGGUCUGGCAGCCGCUGACCAUCUUCUCCAGGCGCUUGUCCCGCAACCUGUUCCCCCGGAAGUUGAUGUCCUUGAGCUUGGGGCAGUCGGCCAGCUCUGCUGGGAUCUCACUCAGCUGGUUGUUGGACAGGUCCAGCGUCUGCGAGGGAGACCGGGACGCAUGAGACCGCCGGGACCCGCCCUCCUGCCGCCUGCCCCGCCUCAGCCCCAUGCCUCUCCCCCAGCCCAGCGCCCAGCACGGAUGCAGUGACCGGGGCCCCUCGGAGGGGAGGCGUCAGUGGACUGCCAGUCGCCUCUGUGAAGUGCUGGUCUUGCUUGUGCUGCCUGACCACCGUGUGCCCGUAGUAACAACCACGGCAGAAUUUCCCAUCGAUGGUUAGGUUAGAGGGGAAAAAAGACAACGAGGAACGCGGGGAAUGUCUGGUUAUAAACACAUAAGGACUUUACAUGAGAAAUAGGUUCCCCACAACGUAGCGCUGAGAUGUCUUUAGUUAAAUGAGCCAAAAAGCAAGAACAGAGCAAGAGUAACACAGCACGAUGCUCUCUAUCCUGCGUGUGCGACAGACAGCGACUCAGCGUCAAUGCUGGGACGCGGGAGGAGGGAGUGGGGGCUACUGCUUCUGCGCCGUAAGGAGGUUGGUGAAACCCUGCGGCCCGUGAAAAGGAACCUUCUAUGACUACUA